rnacentral:rRNA from 1 species
UACGAAGGGUGCAAGCGUUACUCGGAAUUACUGGGCGUAAAGCGUGCGUAGGUGGUCGUUUAAGUCCGUUGUGAAAGCCCUGGGCUCAACCUGGGAAUUGCAGUGGAUACUGGGCGACUAGAGUGCGGUAGAGGGUAGUGGAAUUUCCGGUGUAGCAGUGAAAUGCGUAGAGAUCGGAAGGAACAUCUGUGGCGAAGGCGACUACCUGGGCCAGCACUGACACUGAGGCACGAAAGCGUGGGGAGCAAACGGG